CACUGGUGGGGUUUGACUUUUGCAAGAAUCGAGGACCAUUCAAUUAAUUUUUCUUCAGAAAAAAAAGUACUCUCCAUGAGGGAUUUGAUCCCAGCAGCAGUCAAAAAUCAGAGUUUAUUAUGAAUGCUCCAGAGUUUGAUUAGGUUCAAUUUGAAUCAUAAAUUAGAAACACGAGUUAAUAAGACCCAAAUACAAAUAAAAUAGUGUGUGACAUUUCGAUAACAAUGUUGUUACCAUUAUCAGAUAAAAGUUGUUGUUGUUGUUUCUUAUCCCCUUGUGUAAAGAUUAAACGAAUUUCAUGAGUUCAAUCAGAUAAAAGUUCUGAAAUAUACACAAUGAGAAAAUGAUAUUUUUAAAAUUUUAGAACGGCCAUAUUUUAAGCUGGGUCCAUAUAUUUUCCCAAACACCACACAUUAAUAUUGACUGUUGUAUUACCAGUGUUACCCAGACCAAUCUGUUUAUGAGCAAAUUGUCUUAAUUAGGUUUUCUUGUAAAUAAAUUCCACUAUUAAUAUUAAACGUAAUUAGCUUUUACUUUAUUUUUUCAUUAGCAGAGACUCCAUGGUAAAUCCAGGUAUAAUAAAUUUCUUUUCCUCCAAUUUACCCAGACUUAUCUAUUUAUUAACUUGAUUGUCUUAAUUAAGUUUUCCUGUGUAUAAAUUCUAUAUUGCCAUUUAAUGUGAUCAGCUUUAAAAAUAAUAAUGAUAACAAUGCUUAUUACUGGUAUUAUUACUGUUUGUUUUUUUUUUUCUGCAUGUACCCUUCCUUUCUACUCGGAGAAUCUGUAUAAGACUGAAAGGUCUUAAUAAAGCUUUUUGUUGUUGUUUGUUAUAUUACCGGUGUUAGAUGUAGACCAAGCAUGUCAAACCCGCGGGCCUCAUGCGGCCCACAACGAAUAAAUUUGCGGCCCACCAGAUAAUAUAUUUUAAUACAUUUUUUUUUAUAAAUUAAAAAAAUAUAUAAUAAAAAUUUGUAGCCUAAUUUUAAAAAUUGUAAUUAUACAUAAUUUAUUUAUUAAUAACGAACCACUGGUCGCCAUACAUAAGUCGUAAGUUUUGAUAAUAUUAUACCUACAUACAUAACGUAUGUACAUCGCCAUAAGUAUUGUGUGCCUUAAAGUUUAAAGAAAAUAUUCUUUCGGAGUACUAGAAAAAAUUUUUUUUUCAAGUUACGUUCAAUAAUUUGUGCAGUAUUUUUUUUAAAUAAACCUACAUAAAUGUUACUAUAAAAAUUUAAUUACUUGUUUUCUUUUUUUUGCGGCCCACAUAAUCUUAUUACUUUUUUAUUUGGCCCGUGUUAGGAUUUGAGUUUGACAUGCUUGAUGUAGACACUGGUCUAAAAUCUGAUAGGCCUUAUUUCUGAAUAGUCACCUUCCCAAGAUUGUAGAGUUUUUUUUAAAGACAUGAAGUGUUCCAAGUUAACAAGGACAUGGUGUGCUGCCAGGUGGCCAGAGUAAACAAGAAGCUGGAGGAAGCCAAGGAGGAGAAGGAACAGAUGUUCAACCAGCUCAAGAAAGUCCUUCAUGAGGAGCAAGCUCGGAGGAGAGAGAAGGAGAGGUGGGGUCUCACUGCUAAAUAUUUCUACUGCCCUUACUGCAAUUAUAAAAAUAAUGGGGGGGUCGGUGGAAGGCUGGUUAAACCGUUUGGUUUUUGACCACUAUGACCCGGGUUCGAUUCCCGCAUUGGACUCUUUUUCUGUUUAAUAAAAAAAAAAAUGCUCCAAUGGCCCCCCGAUUCUUGCAAAAGUCCAACCCCACCAGCGAGUGCAAGUAACCAAACGGGGCUCUGGCACAUUUGUAAGUGCAAAGUCGAACUGCUUUCACAUGUGUAGACAUGUGGUGCGCUUACAGUAAAAAGCAGUCGCUAACUACCCACCAUGAUUAUCAUGGCCUGUACCACGUGUACUAGGGAUAAGCAAAAAAAAAAAAUGAAUAAAUAAAAAAAUAAAAAUAAUGGAAGGGCAUUAGAAAAUUAUUUGAUUCAAAAAGAAUCAUACAUGUCAAGAAAUAGUUCAAAUUUCUGACAACAGCAUUCCUCGUGGCACUGUGUGAGGUUUGGCUGGUACCAGAGUACUUUGUCAUGAAGUCGUUAUGUGCUGUUUUGUAAUAAUUAUACUAUGUCAAGAUUUAAAUUUAGAUUUAUAGAUUAGAAAGACAAGGUAAUAAGACCAAAUAAAUAGUGUGAGACUUUUAAGUAACAGUGUUUGUCACCGAAAUGUCACACACUAUAUUUAUUUGAAUAGGUUUUUUUUUGCUUAUCCCUAGUACACGUGGUACAGGCCAUGAUAAUCAUGGUGGGUAGUUAGCGACUGCUUUUUACUGUAAGCGCACCACAUGUCUAUACAUGUGAAAGCAGUUCGACUUUGCACUUACAAAUGUGCCAGAGCCCCGUUUGGUUACUUGCACUCGCUGGUGGGGUUGGACUCUUGCAAGAAUCGGGGGGCCAUUGGAGCAUUUUUUUUUUUAAACAGAAAAAAGUUUCCAAUGCGGGUUCGAACCCGGGUCGUAGUGGUCGUAAACCAAACGGUUUAACCAGCCUUCCACCGACCCCCCAUGAAUAGGUUUUAAAUUAUUUUAACUGUGGAAAAAAAAAAUAGUACAAAUGUGAAAUUGUACUGGGAUAAGGUGAAUAAAUUAAGAAAAAGGCAUCUCCUUAACGUGCAACUGAAAGUUGCUGAUGGCUUGCACCAUCUAUCGGAAUAAAUAUCAACUAUUCGUUAUUUUUAAUUAUUCCAGAAUUCUUGAUUAAUCAAGAAUGAGUAUUUGUUAGUUGAUAUUUAUUAUGAUAGAUGGCACAAAUCAUCAGAAACUCUCAGUUGCACAAUAAAGAAAAGCCUUUUUUUAUAUUUUAACUGUGUUACAUAACAACAUCUUGGUGAUCCUGGUAUAGCGAGGUUAGUAAACUAUAUGAUGCUAGUACCAAGUUGCCGUUAUAAAGAGGGACAUUCCAUUCUAUUGGAUUUAAGUUUAGGUAAUAAGCCCAUCAACUUUUCUGAGACAAUAGACUCGUUGUAAAGGACACCUAGAUGCAGAGCCAAAGUGUUCUUUGGGUAGAGGUAUCCACUUACUGGAGAGUUGCUAAAUAGGAAUAAUGAUAAUUUUGGCAAUGUAAAACUGGGCUUUGUAGAGAGGUGUUCUCUAGUGAGGCUGUUCUACAGUCUUCCUCUUUCUAAUCUCAAAAAUGGUGUCAAGCAGAUUUCAUCUGCGACUUUUGGAGUCUGAAAUUUACCAUUUAAUUCCAAUGCUCAACUGACCCGCAAUCACAGAUUUUAACAGUCAAGGGCCCAUUUUCCACCUGGUUCCCAGAAUGGUACACUUCUGGUAAAGCGGUGACAUUGAUUAGAAUAGAGGGCUAUUUUACUAGACUUCCAUCUGUUCAACAGUAGUAUGUUGAAUUGUCCAAACUUGCUGUGUGCAGUGUGGACAACAACGAGCUGAUGGCCUUCGCAGCUGCCUACCCCAACAUAGCUGUGGGCCAUCCCUCCGCCCAGUUCUACAUGCUGAGUGAGUUACUGAUGUACUUUCACAUAGAGCCAAGGUGCCACAGUUACUGCAUGGCUACCCUUAGUACAGCACUAAAUCUGAUGCUACCAUAGAGAGUUCAAUUCGUCCAUUUAUGAUUUACUGCUAACAUCCAAAUUGUACCAUGUUCCUUAAUGUAGGACCCCUCUUUUUUUUUUUUUUUUUCCUUUAUCCCUAGUACACGUGGUACAGACCAUGAUAAUCAGGGCGGGUAGAAGUAUUUGAUAUAAUUAAUUGAUUUAGUGAUUUAUUUGAUUCAGUGAUUUAUUUAGAGCACAUUUGUCAUGAUUAGAUUUUUAACUAACUUAGCUUGGCGGGUAGAAGUAAGCGACUGCUUUUACUAUAAGUGCUACACAUGUGAAAAGCAGUUCGACUUUGCACUUACAAAUGUGCCAGAGCCCCGUUUGGUAGGACCUCCCAUGACCUACCUUGGUAAACCAACAGCUACCCAGCCUCCAAUGAGAAAUCACCUCCAGAAAAGACCACAGGUAUCCAAGUUUGAUAGACAUUGUCUGGUGGUUCUCUACUCUAUUGAUCCAUACAUUUAUCAACUUCUGUAAGAAAUGUGGUUGAGAGAAUAAUGUGACAGACCAGAACCAGCUUCUCUCUCCUGGCCGACCCCCAGCUGUGAUGUACAAAGUGGCGCCCCCACAGCAGAGCCUCGGCACUCCGGUAGGUUUGGCAUGAGGUAAUAGAUCUGAGAUGGCAAGCAGCUUUGAAUUUAUUUACAAGCUCUUAAGUAGGGAUCUGAUAGGUCCUGCUGACAAAAAAUACCUUUUCAUAUAUUUUUAGAUUUUUUCACUAUAAGUCAACAUGUUAAAAAUAGUGGCUACUUUUUAAAACCUGAGCUGUUGUGAUUUUCUGGAUAAUUUUAAUAUUUUGUUGUUGUUUCUUAUCCCCUUUAUGUAAAGAUUACAUAUAUUAAUAUCUUGUAAAUUGUACCAUGUUAAUUGAUUUAAACAUUCCCUAACUAAAUUUUUAUUAUUUAUUUUAUCAUUUUAAUGCUUAUUCAUUUCGAAUAGAGAAGAGUAUUCAAAGGUACACAAAGACUAUAUGUAACAACUGCUGUAUCUGAGAGAUGCUUUAAAUGAGGAAACAGCAGCAAGGUGUCUGGAUAGCAUAUUCUUAAAAGUGAAAGGGCAAAAGACAAUUGAGAAUGCUUGGAUGGCUUGAAUGCUCUUCUGUUCCAUGGCCUGCUUCUCCUGGUUGGACCUGCAAUCCAGGGCUGUCCAACAUGGCAGACCCUCCUGCUCAGCCCUACCUCCUGUAGAACUUCUGUUCCCUGGAUUGCAGGUCCAAUCAGGAGAAGCAGACCAGGGAAUAGAAUGGCCUGCUUCUCCUGGUUGGACCUGCAGGCCAGGGCUGUCCAUCAUGCCAGAUCCUCCUGCUCAGCCCUACCUCUUGUAGAACUGUUCCAUGGCCUGCUUCUCCUGGUUGGACCUGCAGUCCAGAGCUGUCCAUCAUGCCAGAUCCUCCUGCUCAGCCCUACCUCUUGUAGAACUGUUCCAUGGCCUGCUUCUCCUGGUUGGACCUGCAGUCCAGAGCUGUCCAUCAUGCCAGAUCCUCCUGCUCAGCCCUACCUCUUGUAGAACUGUUCCAUGGCCUGCUUCUCCUGGUUGGACCUGCAGUCCAGAGCUGUCCAUCAUGCCAGAUCCUCCUGCUCAGCCCUACCUCUUGUAGAACUGUUCCAUGGCCUGCUUCUCCUGGUUGGACCUGCAGUUCAGAGCUGUCCAUCAUGCCAGAUCCUCCUGCUCAGCCCUACCUCUUGUAGAACUGUUCCAUGGCCUGCUUCUCCUGGUUGGACCUGCAGUUCAGAGCUGUCCAUCAUGCCAGAUCCUCCUGCUCAGCCCUACCUCUUGUAGAACUGUUCCAUGGCCUGCUUCUCCUGGUUGGACCUGCAGGCCAGGGCUGUCCAUCAUGCCAGAUCCUCCUGCUCAGCCCUACCUCUUGUAGAACUGUUCCAUGGCCUGCUUCUCCUGGUUGGACCUGCAGUCCAGAGCUGUCCAUCAUGCCAGAUCCUCCUGCUCAGCCCUACCUCUUGUAGAACUGUUCCAUGGCCUGCUUCUCCUGGUUGGACCUGCAGUCCAGAGCUGUCCAUCAUGGCAGAUCCUCCUGCUCAGCCCUACCUCUUGUAGAACUGUUCCAUGGCCUGCUUCUCCUGGUUGGACCUGCAGUCCAGAGCUGUCCAACAUGGCAGAUCCUCCUGCUCAGCCCUACCUCUUGUGCUUCAUCACUUCUUCUAUGGAUUCUCUAACAUCAGACAAUGUCCACUCCAAAUACUUGUCUAAAGAUGUCUUGGGUGGUUCUUAUGAUGAAGUCCAGAUUCAUCUGAUCUGUAGUCCUUAAGUCACCUCACCUAGGUCCGCUCCAUCAUUGUGGGACUCUUGGCAUUGAGGUGUAGUGGGCUAUAUGGUGAUUGGUGGGGUAGUCAAUGUCUACAGGUCAUUCUCUCUCUAGAUCUUCACAGAUGUCACUUGUCCUCACACCAGUCACAUGCCCUUGUAGAGUUGUCCAUGGAGUUCUGGACCACUGGAGUUGCCCAGGUUUGUGGACUCCAAGUUAGAGUCAUAUCUGGCUAUCAGGAUUGGACCUCUGUUAACUGGUAGCUCUUGUGGUGACCUUCCCUGCCACAGCACUCUCAUCUACUGAUGAUCUCUUUUUGUCAGUAUUGGGGGCUCUUACUUUCAAUCCUCUUUUAAAUUUAUCUACUCUUUACAACUAAUCCUACUAAACAGUUAUUUCCCCCCCAUCAUUUACAUAAUCAUCAAUAGGACAGCUUUCAUCACCAAAAUGACCAUUUUUACUAUUAGAAACUCUCCAGUAAGAGGACACAAGCCUCUGUCUAAAAGACCCUGGCUGUGCAACUAGAAAUUGUCUGUUAGAGAGGAAGUUAUACAAGUUAAACAUCAGCUUCAGGAAAUAAGAUUAUACCGAGUAAAAAAAGUUGUAUAGAAGUAACUUAUUAAAAAGUGAAUAAAAUUACAGUAGAAGCUCCAUGAGAGAACACCUCUCUAUAAAGGACAGUUUUCAUUUGCAAAAUGAUAAUUUUUAGCAACUAUCCGGUAAGAGGACAUCUCUCUCUAAGGGCUGGAAGGGUUUUAGGGCUGGAUGACAACGCCAUCCUCGCCAUCCUCACUUCUGCCAAGUCAUCAAUACACAGGUUCUUUCUGAGCCUUGAGAUGAGGGGAGAACGUGACUUACUGUCUGGACUCUUUGUCUCCUGGACUUUACAUAACUGUAUAUAGUUUACUCUUUUAUUUUAUCCCUCUUUUUAUAAAUAUUAUAUAAUACCACCAUUGACUUGUGUAUGAUGUCAAUAAAAUAUUUUUAAAUCUCAAAAAAAUCUCUAAAGGACACUUUGGAUUUGCAAUUAGGUGUCCUUUACAGGGAGGUUCUAAUGUAUUGCCAAAAUUAAAUGUCGAAGGCCUUUUCAAAAAGUAAUAUCCAUUUGAUAAUAAAACCUAUAUAUAAACAAGAUGUAAAAUUUUAAAAUGCUGUUUUUCUCACACAGAGACCAUAGAAUUAGGAUGUUACAACCAAAUUGGGGUUAUAAAAAAAUGCUGAUAUGUAUCCACAGUAAUUCAAAUAAAAUGCUUCAAAGAAGUGACUUGUUGUUGGCCCAGGGCACCUCCCACAAGAGGACUCGCAGCCCAUCUCCACCUGCCCCGGGGUCGUACCAGUCUUCCUAUAACUACAAGUACCCCCCACCCAGUGAGUAGCUCCCACUGCCAUAUUGGAUUAUAGUUACACAGACCACAGUAUAUAUUAGUAUAGUAGACUUCACACUAAAACAGAACCAACUACCAAAUUUCUAUUCAACUUUUUUUUUUUUUUUUUACUUAUCCUGAAUUCUCCUGAAUCCUCUAUUCAACUGAAAUAGUUAAACACAAGGUAAUAAGACAAAAUCCAAAUAAAUAAAUAGUAUGUGACAUUUCGGUAAGAACGUUGUUACCAAAAUGUCACACACUAUUUAUUUAUUUGGAUUUGGUCUUAUUAACCUUGUGUUUAUAAUCUAUAAUCCAAAUUGUGCUCUUUAUCAUUGAAAUAGUUAAUAUAGUAUUUUUAUUCCAUUUCCACAUAUUCUUCCGAAGAAUAGAUUUCAUUUUGUUUUGAACCUGUCAUGCAACCACUGUUUUAUCUUGAUAUUAUAAAUUACAGCAUACAUACACACAAUGUUGUACUGGAAAGUUAGGGGAUCCACACUGUUAUUGAUUGACAAGGGCCCUAGUGGGGCCAGGAGGUGUGGUUCCAGAGGUGACCUACACAGGCGGGCCCUAUUACCCCCCCUCCUCAUUCCCACCCACCUAUGCUGCCGGCGCCCCUGGUCCGCCUCAAUUUGACCAACCCACCAGCUCCAAGCACCACUAUCUGGCCACACCCUCCGCAUCUUCCAGCCGGCACCACGAGCCUCCCAGCUCUUACGAGCAACCUUCAAGUUCCAAGUCUCAUCCCACCUACCAAAUGGCCACACCCCAAGGUAAACAUCUGGCACAUAGCCCCAGGUAAACAUCUGGUGAAUGAUGAAUCAAUCCCCAUAAUAAACCCUCUGAGACUCUGUCUCAUCACCAUGUUUGUGGGCAGGCUACAUGGGAGGGCUACCAUCCCAGAUGGAACAUCCCAAGCCUGGCUACCCCGAGGAGAAAUACUACGUCCAGUCGGUGAGUGCUUUCUUCUGUGUGUAUUCUAGAGUGGUGCUGAAGUAGCAAUUAACUUCUCAAAGCUCAAAAUUAGAUUCUAAUAUUCCGGGAGGUUAAAUUUAUUUGUGCAAUGUGUUUCUUCUCAAUAAUAUCAUCAAAUAGAGAUAAUAUUUGAUGAUAUUAUUGAAAAGAAAUACAUUGCCAGUAAAUUUAUUUGUUACAAAUUCAAGGAGGUGUUAUAAUCUACAGUUUUUUUUUUGGACAAAGAAUUAUUGACAAAGGAAUACAUUGUUUUGUGGAUUUUCUAAAGAUGUUUUCUGUGUACAAAUGAAUACCUUCCCCCCACAAAUUACAUUAUAUAUAUAAACAGUAGAAUCUCCCUGUAUAGGACAACAACUAAUUGCAGAGCCAAAGUGUCCUUUAGGGAGAGGUGUCCUCUUACUGGAGAGUUGCUAAAUAGUAAAAAUGGUAAUUUUGCAAAUGAAAGCUGUCCUUUGUGCGAU